rnacentral:rRNA from 1 species
UACGGAGGGUGCAAGCGUUGUCCGGAUUUAUUGGGUUUAAAGGGUGCGUAGGUGGCUAUUUAAGUCAGUGGUGAAAGCCUGCAGCUUAACUGUAGGACUGCCAUUGAUACUGAAUAGCUUGAGUACUGAUGAGGUAGGCGGAAUUGAUAGUGUAGCGGUGAAAUGCAUAGAUAUUAUCAAGAACACCGAUUGCGAAGGCAGCUUACUAAGGAGUUACUGGCACUGAGGCACGAAAGCGUGGGGAUCAAACAGG